GUCACAAAGAUUGGGAACAAAUCAAGGCCAUGUCCAGCAGCAUUACUAAAUGACUGCGGACAAGAUGAAUUCUUAAUAAUCUUCACAAAUUAUGGAAAACGUUAUAUCCACAAUUACUUAUAAGAUAAAUCUUGAGGAGUCAAAACACCAUUGACAAUCCUCAUCAAAGUCAACACUACCAGGCGAAAGUUCCAAAUGGUCUUCUUUUCAGAUGACAAGAGGAAUCAGCCCCAUACGAAGAUUAUCAAAGAAAAAUUUGAGAAGAAAAACUGUACUAAGGUACAAGCUUGAUUCAAGUUCACGCAGACAAAAAGGCUGCCAAUUCUUCACAAGAUCAGAUAAUAUAUAGGACUCUAUCACCGCAACAAUACCAUAAUGAGCAUACAGAGAUCAUCAACUACAAAAGUUCUUAUUCACUUACUUAUCAGGAAAAGGCUGAGAAGAUUACAACCACACUCAACAGCAGACUUCACGUGAUUUCACAAAGCCAAUGUAAGCUUCACUCUACACAGGAUCAAGG